rnacentral:lncRNA from 1 species
UCCCGGGUUCACGCCAUCUCCUGCCUCAGCCUCUCCGAGUAGCUGGGACUACAGGCGCCCGCCACCAUGCCCGGCUAAUUUUUUGUAUUUUUAGUAGAGACGGGGUUUCACCGUGGUCUCGAACUCCUGACCUCGUGAUCCGCCUGCCUUGGCCUCCCAAAGUGCUGGGAUUACAAGUGUGAGCCACCGCGCCCAGCCAAUUCUUACUUUUUUUUUUUAAGAGACAGGGUGUUGCUAUGUUGCCCAGGCAGGUCUCAAACUCCUGGCCUCAAGCGAUCCUCCUGCCUUGGCCUCCCAAAGUGUUGGGAUUACAGACGUGAGCCACAGCACUUGGCUUCCAAUGUUUCUCUUACCUCCAUCCAUUCCCUCCCCAUGUAUGUCACAACCCUAAUCUAAGCCACAUCUCCCACCUGGACUACACGAGGGUCUCCCUGCUUCCUCAUGUGUGCCCCUAUAAGUGCAUUCUCAUACAGUAGUCACGGUGAUCUUAUCCGUAAACUGAAUCAUGCCACUACACUGAAGCUGGGAUGAAAUCCAGGCUUGUAGUUUUAAGGAGCUUCCAGCGGCCAAAUCUGGGACAAUCUGAGCACCAAAAUAAUUAAGAUUAAUAACUAAUUAUAAAAUUUAUUGGAAAAUAAUAGAAAUCCAAGAGUCCCUAUGAAUAGUGAAUCUAAAAUAAGUGGACAGAAGAAUGCCAAGUGUUGACUAAUAAAUGUGGAGGGAGUCCUGGGGUUGAGUUACUAUUCUGUAACCAUCGUGAUUCUUAGGCAAGAAUCAUCAAUAGGUGUUAAAUCUCAUCUAUUUAACUUUUGAUGUGGAAUAGGAUAUAGUCAUGGUUAUAAAAUACCUCCUCAUAGAUUACUUGUUACAAGGGAAAAAUAGUAACUCUAGAUUGGAGAAAUCAAAUAACCUUGACUUGGUGAUCAAAAUUAAAAUCACCAAGGAGGGGCUGGGUGUGGUGGCUCACGCCUGUAAUCCCAGCACUUUGGGAGGCCGAGGCAGGCGGAUCACCUGAGGGCAGGAGUUCAAGACUAGCCUGGCCAACAUGGCGAAACCCAGUCUCUACUAAAAAAUACAAAAAUUAGCUGGGCAUGGUGGUGGGUACCUGUAAUCCCAGCUACUAGGGAGGCUGAAGCAGGGAGAAUUGCUUGAACCCAGGAGGCGGAGGUUGCAGUGAGCUGAGAUCACACCACUGCACUGCACUCCAGCCUGGGCAACAGAGCAAGACUCUGUUUUAAAAAAAAUCACCACGGAGGAACAGACAGACAUGUGUGGCUUUAGCUGUUACACUGAGAAGGACACAGUAUCACUUACACAGUCUUCCAGCCAGGAAUGCAUAAUCCAUAUAUUAUAAUGAAGAAACAAGUAGACAAACCCCAAAUGAAGAAUGUUCUAUUAAGAUAAAGGGGAAGAUUGAAUUCUUCAAUAAUAUCAACACCAUGCAGACAAAGAAAGGCUAACCAUUCCCGAUUAAGGGAUACUAGAGAGAAACAACAACCGAAUGCAAUACAGCAUUCUUAGACUUGAUCCUGUGCUAGAGGAGAAAUGGCAUCUAAAGGGUGUUACUGAGACAAGUGACAAAGUAACUUUGAUACCACAUUGGAUCAGUGUGAAAUUUAAUGCAGUGGAUAACUGUACUGUGGGAGGAAACACACUAUUUAGGGGUAGAGGAACAUGAGGUCUGCAACUUAUUCUCAACUAGAUUGGAAUCAAAGUCAUCUGUAUAUACCUUAAAUAGAGAGAUGGCCAGUGACAGAGAAAUGGGGUAAAAUGUGAACACCAGGUGAAUUUGGGACAAAGGCUAUGCAGAUGUCCAUUGUACUAUUCUUGAGACUUUUCUGUAACUUUGAAAUUAUUUCCAAAUAAAAAGUUAAACCAGGAAGGGCAUGGUGGCUCAUGCCUGUAAUCCCUUUGGGGAUUUGUAAGCACUUUGGGAAGCAGAGGAGGGUGGAUCACUUGAGGUCAAGAGUUCGAGACCAGUCUGGCCAAUAUGGUGACACUCUCUCUCUACUAAAAAUACAAAAAUUAGCCAGGUGUAGUGGCAGGCACCUGUAAUCCAGCUACUUGAGAGCCUAAGGUGGGAGAAUCGCUUGAACCUCGGAGGUAGAGGUUGCAAUGAGCCAAGAUCACACCACUGCACUCCAGCCUGGGGACAGAGUGAGUCUGUGUCUCAAAUUUAAGAAAAAAAAAAAAAAAAGUUAACCUAAAGCCUCCAGGCUCCUUACUGUGGCCCACCAGGCUCUGCCAUCACCCCCGCCCAGGCCACCUGGCUUUAUCUCAGCCCAAGCCCCUGCAUGCUCAGCUCCCACUAUAAGGAUUGCCUUUCAGUUUCCCCACCAUACCAAGCUCUUUCCCACCCUUGGGUCUUUUGUGCCUACUCUUGCUUGUCUAUGGAAUUCUCCUCCCCAAUUCAGAUCUCAGGGAGACAGUAAUUGUCACUUUCUCACAAUGACCUUCUUUGACCAUCUUAAUCUAAUUUAGAUCUACAAUAUGCUUUCAUGGCACCAAGAACUUUUCCUUCAUGACACUUAUCACAGUUUAUAAGAGUGUAUUUUGGGGGAUUGCAUGACGUCUGUCUUCUCCAACAGCCUGGAUGCUCCCUGAAGCCAGGAAUCCUGUUUGUUCUACUCAUGAAUGCAUCUUUCCACCCCAGCGGCUGGACCUGGCAUGCAGCUGGGCAUUCCAUAGCCAGCUGACUGAUUAAAUGGUGAAUUCCACUCUCCAAAUUCACCCCCAGACUGUUGGUAGCGCUCAGAGAACACACUCUGUGGUCUAUCUCUAGCCCUGAGAACUCAUUCAAGAGGCUUCGUCUUUGAAGCCUUUCUAAAUUCCCCACCACUAUGCCACAAUUUGGAACUAAGAGGCCAUGGCAGGGAGGAGGUGGCACUUUGGAAGCAAGCCGUGUUAGGGGAGACAUCACGAAUGAGACCCAGAGAGGGGAUGUCAAGGAGGCAGCUGGCUGCUCAGGCUGGCGCUCAGAGGGGCAGUCUGGGUUAGACUACUGAGAAAGGACCAACAGCUGGAGCUGCGCACAUAAAGGAGAUCUUUCACAGACCCGUGCAGAAGAAAGAGUCUAAGGACAGGGCCCAAACGAGGCUGACUUAGGGCUAAGCAAGAAAAACAGCCCUGGAAGCAGAGAAGCAGUGUCCAGAGAAGUAGCAAUGAUAUUCAGAGACAGAAAAAGUUGUUACCAAAGGCAAGAAAGGAGGACAUUUAGGCACUGAAACCAUUUGGAUUUUCUUCUUCCUUGUUCAAGAUCAGCAGUCUGGCCCCUGGUGGUUGAGGCAGGCUGGUGAGGUUAAGAGCUUGGACUGUAAACUAGCCAGGCGCGGUGGCACAAGUCCAUAGUCCGAGCUACUCGAGAGGCUGAGGCACGAGAAUCACUUGAACCUGGGAGGAGGAGGUUGCAGUGAGCCAAGAUUGUGCCACUGCACUCCAGCCUGGGUGAUAGAGUGAGACUCCGGCUCAAAAAAAAAAAAAAAAAAAAAAAGAGCUUGGACUGUGUCUGAAUCCUGACUUCAUGAUAUAUUAAUAUCAGUUGUGUGACCUUGGACAAUGGACUUGACUUUCUGAGACUUCAAGCCCUCAUCUGUACAUUGUUGAGGGGCUACUGUCAGAAUGACAUGCGAUCCUCUCUGGAAGGCCCUUUGAGCCAUGUUUGGUCUACGGUCUAGGCAAUGAAUGACAUCGUGGUGCAUGCACAGUGCGAGAGGGUGCACUGGUUGCCGCUCACAGGAAUGUGUCCUAAGUUCAGCCUUUCACCAAUAGCAGUUUCAGACAAAAGUCAGAGCCCUCCAACCACCUUCUAUUACAUGUCCCCUUCCUCUGAUGCGGCCCCUAAUUAAAAACAAAAACAAAAACAUAUAGUGGGCAGGUUCCAUUUAACAUGAUCCUUCCUCUAAAGCCUCUUUCUGAAAAAUCAGUUUUCUCCCUGUCCCCAAGGGUGCCCCAAGUCAUACCAUGCCAGAGUUUGCCCUCAUGACUACAAUUAACCCUUAGCUGAGAGCAUUUUGCACUGUUUUCCAGCUACCCAUGGUGACACUCGCCUCAACACAGCUACCUUCUGUGGACAUAGGUAAGUAUUCUCAGGCCCCUUAUUUGGGGAUACCAUUAACGUCUGCCCAUAGCUUCCAACCAUCCCAUCUCUGAAGGCAAGAGAAGUGUGUGGCUACCAUUUCACAGUUUAGAAAGCACUUCCCCAACACAGCCUCCCUUUCAUCCUCACGACUGCCCGGUGAGGUAGAUACAGCAGGUAACAGCUACAGUGGUUUGCAUUUAUCAAGCACUUACAAUGUACCAUGUUCUAUGUUAAGCAUUUUCAUAUGUGAUCCCAUUUAAACUCAUGAAAACUCUAUGAAGAUGAUGUCUGCCACAAUCAUCAAUCAGUGCCACCACUUUACAGAAGAGAAAAAUGGAGUGGUUCGUAACUUGCCUCAAAUCAAAGAGGUGGUAAGUAAUGGAGCCAGGAUUCAAACCUCAGACUGACUACAGAGCCACACUCUUAACCCUCCUACAAUAUUGCCUCAAAAAGCAAGCAUUGACUCCCCACACAUUAUUCUAUCCAUUAAAUUGAAGCUCAGAGAGGUAAAGUGACUUGCCCAAGACCUCGCCACCAGGAACUGGCAGAGCUAGGAUCCAUACUUGGAUUCUCUGGCUCUGAGGCCCCUGAAACCAAAAAGGCAAGAUUCAAUGUUCUAGGUAAAAUUCCAGCAGCAGACUUGACUUGCCGAUGCUGCUCAGUCCAGAGUAGUGUUUCUUUUUCUUUCUUUUUCCUUUUCUUUUGAGACAAAUCUCCCUCUGUCACACAGGCUGAAGUGCAGUGGUGGGAUGUCAGUUUGCUGCAACCUCUGCCUCCUGGGUUCAAGCAAUUCUCCUGCCUCAGCCUCCUGAGUAGGUAGGAUUUCAGGCACGCACCACCAUGCCUGGCUAAUUUUUGUAUUUUUAGGAAAGACGGGUUUCACCAUGUUGUUCAGGAUGGUCUCGAACUCCUGACCUCGUGAUCCGCCCGCCUCGGCCUCCCAAAGUGCUGGGAUUACAGGCAUGAGCCACCGCGCCCGGCCUUUCUUUUUCUUUUUUGAGAUAGAAUCUCACUCUGUCACCCAGGCUGGAGUGCACAAUCUCUGCUCACUGCAACUUCCACCUCCUGGGUUUAAGCGAUUCUCCUGCCUCAGCCUCCCGAGUAGCUUGGACUACAGGUGUACAGCACCAUGCCCGGCUAAUUUUUUUUUUUUUUUUGUAUUUUUAGUAGAGAUGAGGUUUCACCAUGUUGGCGAGACUGGUCUUGAACUCCUGACCUCAAAUGAUCCAACCGCCUUGGCCUCCCAAAGUGCUGGGAUUAUAGGCAUGAGCCACUGUGCCCAGCCCCAAAGUAGUGUUUCUAUGCAGGAAAUCCCUUCUGGAAUUUAUCAGGAAAUCUGUAUGUUCUUCUGAAUCCCAAAAUCGAUCAGUCAAGAAAUUGGGAAAAUGGGGAAAAGCAUUAUAAUUCUCCUGUGAGAAUUAAUGCUUAACAAUCAACAUAGAGGCAUUCCUGGCUUAAAGAAAUCCACUGAUGCCAAAUUGAAAGCAAGAGAAGGCAACGUUGACACACAGAGUCUAAAGUUAAGGUACUGUAAUCCCGGUGCUCUGGGAGGCUGAGGCGGUUGGAUCAUUUGAGGUCAGGAGUUCGAGACCAGCCUGGCCAACAUGGCAAAACCGUGUCUCUACAAAAAAUACAAAACUUAGCCGGGCAUGGUGGCAUAUGCCUCUAAUCCCAGCUACUCGGGCGGCUGAGGCACAAGAAUUGCUUGAACCCGGGAGGUGGAGUCGAGAUCGCACCACUGCACCUGAGCCUGGGAGCUGCAGCAAGACUGUCUCAAAAAAUAAAUAAAUAAAGUUAAGGUAGACAUUUCCAGAAUAUGGGAUAAGAGUACCUAGGAGAUAAGUAGUCAAAAUACUUUUUGUAGCUGUUGACACACUAAAAGUAUAUUUGUGGCUGUACCUGUUGUUAAGAGCGAGUCAUUCCCACAAAUAUUAAUGUUGACGUGCACUGUGUUUUAUACAAAUCCUACAAAUGAUGUUCUAAUAAAUAACAAGUUUUGGAAACACAUAAGUCCUUAAAUUGGCAAUUCUCUCCCUCUCUCUUUUUUUAAGAGACACGGUCUUGCUCUGUUGCCCAGGCUGGAGUGCAGUGGUGCAAUCAUAGCUCACUAUAGCCUCAAACUCUGGGCUCAAGUGAUCCUCCUGCCUUGCCCUCCGAAAGUGCUGGAAUUACAGGCAUGUGCCACCACACUCAGCCUAAACUGGCAAUUUCAACUCGUGAUUCUGUGUAGUGUUGUUAAUCUUGUCAAAUAUUUGAACAUUUUGUUAUUUAAAUACUACCCAACAAUGUUCAUUGGCAUCUUCCAGUUACUGAAUAUUUGCUACGGCCUACAGAUCUUUGUAACUACUACUAAAUGUGUAUUUCUUAUUUAUUAAAAAAUACAGAAAGUGGCCGGGCAUGGUGGCUCACGCCUGUAAUCCCCGCACUUUGGGAGGCUGAGGUGGGUGGAUCACCUAAGGUCAGGAGUUUGAGACCAGCCUGGCCAACAUGAUGAAACCCUCUCUGUACUAAAAAUACAAAAAAUUAGCUGGGCAUAGUGGCACGUGCCUGUAAUCCCAGCUGCUAGGGAGGCUGAGGCAGGAGAAUCACUUGGACCCGGAAGGCAGAGGUUGCAGUGAGCCGAGAUCACACCACUGCACUCCAGCCUGAGUGACAAGAGCAAACCUCCGUCUCAAAAACAAACAAACAAACAAACAAACAAAAAAAAAAAACACAGAAAGUUAUGAAAAAUACAGAAUAACAUGCUUUCAGGAAUUCCCCCAAAUCCCAUUUUUUCAUUCCCAACUCCUGAAGAUUAGUUUCCCUUUUGGGAACUUGGA